CCACAGACAAGUCACUGGGAGUCUGAAGGUAAUCUUGGCUCUGCCUGAGCUGGCCCUUAAAUGAAGGGACUCCAGUCCAAGGUUUUGAUCACAGCUCCCUGGCAGCUGUUGCCUUUCCCAAGCCGAAGAGCAAGAGAGAGGAUCAUCUGUUUUCUCCCCAAGGAAGUGCCAAGUCCCUUUCUGAGAGCUGCAGAGUUAAAAUGUUCAGAGCACUGGCUGAGGACCCUGAGGACCUGGGUUUACAACCAGUCUUAGCCGCUUACUGAAGCUUACCCCAAAGAUACAGAUGUCGUGAA